AGAUGCGAUCAUACCAGCACUAAAGCACCGGAUCCCAUCAGAACUCCAAAGUUAAGCAUGCUUGGGCGAGAGUAGUACUAGGAUGGGUGACCUCCUGGGAAGUCCUCGUGUUGCAUUCC
rnacentral:rRNA from 2 species